rnacentral:rRNA from 1 species
AUUGAACGCUGGCGGCAGGCUUAACACAUGCAAGUCGAGCGGAGAUGAGGUGCUUGCACCUUAUCUUAGCGGCGGACGGGUGAGUAAUGCUUAGGAAUCUGCCUAUUAGUGGGGGACAACAUUCCGAAAGGAAUGCUAAUACCGCAUACGCCCUACGGGGGAAAGCAGGGGAUCUUCGGACCUUGCGCUAAUAGAUGAGCCUAAGUCGGAUUAGCUAGUUGGUGGGGUAAAGGCCUACUAAGGCGACGAUCUGUAGCGGGUCUGAGAGGAUGAUCCGCCGCACUGGGCCUGGGGCACGGCCCACACUCCUACGGGAGGCAGGAGUGGGGAAUAUUGGACAGUGGGCGGAAGCCUGAUCCAGGCAUGCCGCGUGUGUGAAGAAGGCCUUUUGGUUGUAAAGCACUUUAAGCGAGGAGGAGGCUACCUGGAUUAAUACUCUAGGAUAGUGGACGUUACUCGCAGAAUAAGCACCGGCUAACUCUGUGCCAGCAGCAGCCGCGGUAA